rnacentral:rRNA from 1 species
GCGCACCAGGCGAGAAUCCUUCGCAAUGCGGGAAACCGCGACGAGGGGACUCCCAGUGCCUACGCUCAGCGUAGGCUGUUCCCGAGCCUAGAAAGCUCGGGGAGUAAGGGCUGGGUAAGACGGGUGCCAGCCGCCGCGGUAAUACCCGCAGCCCGAGUGGUGGCCACUAUUAUUGGGCCUAAAGCGUCCGUAGCCGGCCCGGUAAAUGCCUGGGUAAAUCGUGAGGCCUAACCUCACGAAUUCCGGGUAGACUGCCGGGCUAGGGACCGGAGGAGGGAGAGGGUACGUCCAGGGGUAGGGGGUGGAAAAGUCCUGUAAUCCCUGGAGGACCACCGGUGGCGAAGGCGCUCUCCUAGGACGGGUCCGACGGUGAGGGACGAAAGCCAGGGGAGCGAACCGGAUUAGAUACCCGCGUAGU